rnacentral:lncRNA from 1 species
ACAGGGGAAGUGCAUCAUUGGGGUCACUGAGUGCUUGUCACUCCCCAGCAUCUGGGAAGGUCUGAGACUGGGGCCUUCUGUGGCCCUAACCGGGCUCUCCCUGAGUGGAGAGGUGAGUUCCCAGAGAGCAGGGCUCCACGUGUGUGUAGACUGGGCAGGAAAUGCCCAGUGGGCAGAUGUCUCCCUCCCCGAAGCUUGAAACAAACUCAUCGCUAGUAGAGAAAGGCAGAUGGGAUAGACAUCGGAAGAGGGAGAAAAGAGGGAACAAGACAGGAGCAUAUCACAGAUGGCCUCUGAAAGACUCUAUCCAGCAGUGU